AAAAAAGCCUGUAGUAUCUAAUUUUGAAAGAUGCAAAACAUUUCAGGUAGAUGUUAAAUGAUCUCAACUCUUUAUUUCAGUGAAAGCUAAAAGUGCUCUGCUACACUACUGGGCGAGGCAGAAGAAGGAGGAGGAUGCACUUGGUGCUUUCAGCAAGAAGCUCUGCACAUGCCAGCUUUCUUCUGCUACGGAUGGGAUGAGACACAGGCGGUAUUUCUUGAGAGACAAAUAAGACAUGCUACUGUAUGAUUACCUUGAUUUCAACACAUCUUAUGGAUUGAGAAUGCACUUAAUUAUUGGUUAUGGAACAAAGCUUUGGAAAUUGGAACAUUUCUAGCAGUAGCCAAAGCAGAAGUACUUACUUCAAUUUCACUUCACUCCAGAAGGAUAACAAAACUAUAGGAUUGUGUCUUCCAUUUACCAGAAUGUCACUCCAGGACAGCAACUGCCUGCCUUUAAAAGGACAUGGACUGCCCUCAACCAUUUUGUCCAAAGGGGAUUUGUACACAGAAGCAGGGCAGGUCUCUGAGAUUCCACAACAGUCUGAGCAAGGUCGCGUUGCUGAUUUCCUCCUGCUCCUUGGCACAUACCUGGCACAGCCCAGUUUUGGAAGGUAAGCAUGGGAUAACAGCAGAUGUCAGCGCCCAGAUCAGUCUCCUUUGCUAC
rnacentral:lncRNA from 1 species